AGGAGGGAGGCAGGGUGGGGUCAGUAGUUAAUUUGUCUUGAAAAGUAUUUAUCUUUUCGUCAUUGCUGUUAGGGUUUAGAUGUUUUUUGUUUAGUUAUCUGAGGAAUGUAGUGUUAGUAUAGGUUCCAAGGUGGAGAAUUCUUUGGAAUUCACUUUCACCCUUGAAACUGGAAGAUCUUAGAUUCUAUAAAGGGGGGGGGGGGGGGGGUGUGCACAGAAGGAGCAUGGGCUCAGACUUUUCUCUGAAUGAUAUUGUGACAAGUCUGUCCGAACGCAAGUGGCUGGUUAGGUGUGGGAAAGAGAUAGAGUGAUAGCCCCCGCUUUUGUCAGUUGACUUGGCGGUUUGGGGUAGGCUGAUCAAGGGCUUGCACUGGCCGGCGCAUGUCGACCUGUCACAUGUUCCAGUCGAGUCUCCGAGCUCAAUCUGUGUGUAAAAAUUAUGUGUUGGUAGAAAGUUUAAUGACUCAGCUCAGUUGGUAUGCUAUGCUGUCUAUCUUUUAGACUAUGUGUUUGUAGAGCAAUAUUAUGUAUAUAUUAUGUUACAGGGCUAGGAAAAGGUUAAAGGUUUUUGGUGUUAGGGUUAAAAUCACUGUCCAAAACCUUUGUAGGAACUCUUUUCCAACCUUUUGGAGUUAGACCAAAAAAGAAUGAAAAAUGAAAAGAAAAUAUUUGGGGUUUUCGGGCUUCCUGAAGGUAAUACCCAGGUAUUAGGUUAUGGGGCUAGGGUUAGGUUUUAGGUUUUUGGCGUUAGGGUUAAUAUCAAUGUCCAAAACCUUUGGAGGAACUCUUUUCCAAGCUUUUGGAGGUAGUUAGACAAAAAAAAAAAGAAAAAUUAGAAAAAAAUAUUUUUGGUUUUCGGGCUUCCUGAAGGUAAUACCCGGGUAUUAGGUUAUGGGGCUUUGGAAAGUUUUAGGGUUUUUGGCAUUAGGGUUAAAAUCACUGUCCAAAACCUUUGUAGGAACUCUUUUCCAAACUUUUGGAGUCAGUUAGACCAAAAAAAAAGAAAAAUAAAAAAAAAAUUAUUUGGGGUUUUCAGGCUUCCUGGAGGUAAUACCCUAAUAUUAGGUCAAGGGGCUAUGGUAAGGUUUAAGGUUUUUGGCGAUAGGGUUAAACUAACUGUCCAAAACCUUUUUAGGAACAUGUUUCAGACCUUUUGGAGUUGGUUACACCAAAAAAAAAUGUAAAAUGAGAAAAAAAUAUUUGGGGUGUUCGGGCUUCCUGAAGGUAUUAGGUUAUGGGGCUAUGGUAAGGUUUAAGGUUUUUGACGUAAGGGUGAAAAUAACUGUCCAAAACCUUUGUAGGAACUCUUUUCCAACCUUAUGGAGUUCAUUAGACCAAAAAUAAAUGAAAAAUGUAAAAAAAAAUAUUUGGGGUGUUCGGGCUUCCUGAAGGUAAUACCCGGGUAUUAGGUUAUGGGGCUUAGGAAAUAUUUAAGGUUUUUGGCGUUAGGGUUAAAAUCACUGUCCAAAACCUUUUUAGGAACAUGUUUCAGACCUUUUGCAGUUGGUUAAACCAAAAAAAAAAAUGUAAAAUGAAAAAAAAUAUUUGGGGUGUUCGGGCUUCCUGAAGGUAAUACAUGGGUAUUCGGUUUUGGGGCUAGGGAAAGGUUUAAGGUUUUUGGCGUUAGGGUUAAAAUCUCUGUCCAAAACCUUUGUAGGAACUCUUUUCCAACCUUUUGGAGUUAGGUAGACCAAAAAAAAUGAAAAAAAAAAUAUUUGGGGUGUUCGGGCUUCCUGAAGGUAAUACCCGGGUAUUAGGUUAUGGGGCUUUGGAAAGGUUUAAGGUUUUUUGCGUUAGGGUUAAAAUCACUUUCCAUAACCUUUGUAGGAACUCUUUUCCAACCUUUUGGAGUUAGUCAGAACAAAAAAAAGAUAAAAAAUAAAAAAUAUAUAUUUGGGGUGUUCGGGCUUCCUGAAGGUAAUACCCGUAUUAGGUUAUGGGGCUACGGUAAAAUUUUAGGUUUUUGGCGCUAGGGUUAAAAUCACUGUCCAAAAAGCUUUUUAGGAACUCUUUUCCAACCUUUUGGAGUUAGGUAGACCAAAAAAAAAAGAAAAAAGAAAAAAAUAUUAUUUGGGGUUUUCGGGCUUCCUGAAGGUAAUACCCGGGUAUUAGGUUUUGGGGCUAGGGUAAGGUUUGAGGUUUUUGGCAUUAGGGUCAAAAUCACUGUCCAAAACCUUUUUAGGAACAUGUUUCAGACCUUUUGGAGUUUUUACACCAAAAAAAAAGUAAAAUGAAAAAAUAAUAUUUGGGGUGUUCGGGCUUCCUGAAGGUAAUACCCGGGUAUUAGGUUAUGGGGCUAUGGUAAGUUUUAAGGUUUUUGGCAUUAGGGUUAAAAUCACUUGCCAAAACCUUUGUAGGAACUGUUUUCCAACCUUUUGGAGUUAGUUCGACAAAAAAAGUGAAAAAUGAAAAAAAAAUAUUUGGGGUGUUUGGGCUUCCUGAAGGUAAUACCCAGGUAUUAGGUAAUGGGGCUAUGGUAAGGGUUCAGUUUUUUGGCGUUAGGGUUAAAAUCACUGUCUAAAACCUUUGUGGGAACUCUUUUCCAACCUUUUGGAGUUAGUUAGACCAAAAAAAAAAAAAGAAAAAUGAAAAAAAAAAUAUUUGGGGUGUUCGGGCUUCCUGAAGGUAAUACCCAGGUAUUAGGUUAUGGGGCUAAGGUAAGGUUUAAGGUUUUUGGCGUUAGGGUUAAAAUCAAUGUCCAAAACCUUUGUAGGAACUCUUUUCCAGGCUUUUGGAGUUAGUUAGACCAAAAAAACAUGAAAAAUAAAAAAAUAUAUAUUUGGGGUGUUCGGGCAUCCUGAAGGUAAUAGCAGGGUAUUAGGUUUUGUGGCUAAGGUAAGGUUUAAGGUUUUUGGCGUGAGGGUUAAAAUCACUGUCCAAAACCUUUGUAGGAACUCUUUUCCAACCUUUUGGAGUCAGUUACACCAAAAAAAAAAUGUAAAAUGAAAAAAAAAAUAAUUUGGGGUGUUCGGGCUUCCUGAAGGUAAUACCCCGGUAUUAGAUUAUGGGGCUAUGGUAAGGGUUAAGGUUUUUGGCGUUAGGGUUAAAAUCACUGUCCAAAACCUUUGUAGGAACUCUUUUCCAACCUUUUGGAGUUAGUUAGACCAAACAAAAAUGAAAAAUGAAAAAAAAAUAUUUGUUGUUUUUGGGCUUCCUGAAGGUAAUACCCAGGUAUUAGGUUAUGGGGCUAUGGUAAGCGUUCAGUUUUUUGGCGUUAGGGUUAAAAUCACUGUCCAAAACCUUUGUGGGAACUCUUUUCCAAGCUUUUGGAGUUAGUUAGACCAAAAAAACAUGAAAAAUAAAAAAAUAUAUAUUUGGGGUGUUCGGGCUUCCUGAAGGUAAUACCCGGGGUAUUAGGUUAUGGGGCUUUUGAAAGUUUUAGGGUUUUUGGCAUUAGGGUUAAAAUCACUGUCCAAAACCUUUGUAGGAACUCUUUUCCAACAUUUCGGAGUUCGUUAGACCAAAAAAAAGAUGAAAAAAUAUAUAUAUAUAUUUGGGGUGUUCGGGCUUUCUUAAGGUAAUACCCGGGUAUUGAAUUAUGGGGCUAUGGUAAGGUUUAAGGUUUUUGGUGUUAAGGUUAAAAUCACUGUCCAAAACCUUUGUAGGAACUCUUUUCCAAGCUUUUGGAGCUGGUUACACUAAAAAAAAUGUAAAAUGAAAAAAAAAUAUUUGGGGUGUUCGGGCUUCCUGAAGGUAAUACCGGUAUUAGGUUAUGGGGCUAUGGUAAGUUUUAAGGUUUUUGGCGUUAGGGUUAAAAUCACUGUCCAAAACCUUUGUAGGAACUCUUUUCCAAGCUUUUGGAGUUAGUUAGACCAAAAAAACAUGAAAAAUUAAAAAAUAUAUAUUUGGGGUGUUCGGGCAUCCUGAAGGUAAUACCCGGGUAUUAGGUUUUGGGGCUAAGGUAAGGUUUAAGGUUUUUGGCGUGAGGGUUAAAAUCACUGUCCAAAACCUUUGUAGGAACUCUUUUCCAACCUUUUGGAGUCAGUUACACCAAAAUAAAAAUGUAAAAUGAAAAAAAAAUAAUUUGGGGUGUUCGGGCUUCCUGAAGGUAAUACACCGGUAUUAGAUUAUGGGGCUAUGGUAAGGGUUAAGGUUUUUGGCGUUAGGGUUAAAAUCACUGUCCAAAACCUUUGUAGGAACUCUUUUCCAACCUUUUGGAGUUAGUUAGACCAAACAAAAAUGAAAAAUGAAAAAAAAAUAUUUGUGGUUUUCGGGCUUCCUGAAGGUAAUACCCGGGUAUUAGGUUAUGGGGCUUUUGAAAGUUUUAGGGUUUUUGGCAUUAGGGUUAAAAUCACUGUCCAAAACCUUUGUAGGAACUCUUUUCCAACAUUUCGGAGUUCGUUAGACCAAAAAAAAGAUGAAAAAACAUAUAUAUAUAUAUUUGGGGUGUUCGGGCUUCCUUAAGGUAAUACCCGGGUAUUGAAUUAUGGGGCUAUGGUAAGGUUUAAGGUUUUUGGUGUUAAGGUUAAAAUCACUGUCCAAAACCUUUGUAAGAACUCUUUUCCAAUCUUUUGGAGCUGAUUACACUAAAAAAAAUGUAAAAUGAAAAAAAAAUAUUUGGGGUGUUCGGGCUUCCUGAAGGUAAUACUUAGUAUGACCUUUGUAGGGACUCUUUUCCAAGCUUUUGGAGCUGAUUUCACUAAAAAAAAUGUAAAAUGAAAAAAAAAUAUUUGGGGUGUUCGGGCUUCCUGAAGGUAAUACCCGGGUAUUAGGUUAUGGGGCUAUGGUAAGUUUUAAGGUUUUUGGCGUUAGGGAUAAAAACACUGUCCAAAACCUUUGUAGGAACUCUUUUCCAACCUUUUGGAGUUAGUUAGACCAAAAAAAAAAAGAAAAAAGGAAUAAAAAAUAUUUGGGAUUUUCGGGCUUCCUGAAGGUAAUACCCGGGUAUUAGGUUUUGGGGCUAGGGUAAGGUUUGAGGUUUUUGGCAUUAGGGUUAAAAUCACUGUCCAAAACAUUUUUAGGAACAUGUUUCAGACCUUUUGGAGUUUGUACACCAAAAUAAAAAUGUAAAAUGAAAAAAAAAUAUUUGGGGUGUUCGGGCUACCUGAAGGUAAUAACCCGGGUAUCAGGUUAUGGGGCUAUGGUAAGGUUUAAGGUUUUUGGCGUUAGGGUUAAAAUUAUUGUCCAAAACCUUUGUAGGAACUCUUUUCCAACCUUUUGGAGUUAGUUAGACCAAAAAAAAAAGAAAAAUGAAAAAAAAUAUUUGGGGUUUUCGGGCUUCCUGAAGGUAAUACCUGGGUAUUAGGUUAUGGGGCUUAGGAAAGGUUUAAGGUUUUUGGCGUUAGGGUUAAAAUCACUGUCCAAAAACCUUUGUAGGAACUCUUUUCCAACCUUUUGGAGUUAGGUAGACCAAAAAAAAAAAGAAAAAAGAAAAAAAAAUAUUUGGGGUUUUCCGGCUUCCUGAAGGUAAUACCCGGGUAUUAGGUUUUGGGGCUAGGGUAAGGUUUGAGGUUUUUGGCGUUAGGGUUAAAAUGACUGUCCAAAACCUUUUUGGGAACAUGUUUCAGAUCUUUUGCAGUUGGUUAAACCAAAAAAAAAAGUAAAAUGAAAAAAAAAUAUUUGGGGUGUUCGGGCUUCCUGAAGGUAAUACCCGGGUAUUAGGUUAUGGGGCUAUAGUUAGGUUUAAGGUUUUUGAAGUUAGGGUGAAAAUAACUGUCCAAAUCCUUUGUAGGAACUCUUUUCCAACCUUAUGGAGUUCGUUAGACCAAAAAAAAGAAAAAUGAAAAAAAAAUAUUUGGGGUGUUCGGGCUUCCUGAAGGUAAUAGGAAAUUGGAAAGGUUUAAGGUUUUUGGCGUGAGGGUUAAAAUCACUGUCCAAAACCUUUGUAGGAACUCUUUUCCAACCUUUUGGAGUCAGUUACACCAAAAAAAAAAUGUAAAAUGAAAAAAAAAAUAAUUUGGGGUGUUCGGGCUUCCUGAAGGUAAUACCCCGGUAUUAGAUUAUGGGGCUAUGGUAAGGGUUAAGGUUUUUGGCGUUAGGGUUAAAAUCACUGUCCAAAACCUUUGUAGGAACUCUUUUCCAACCUUUUGGAGUUAGUUAGACCAAACAAAAAUGAAAAAUGAAAAAAAAAUAUUUGUUGUUUUUGGGCUUCCUGAAGGUAAUACCCAGGUAUUAGGUUAUGGGGCUAUGGUAAGGGUUCAGUUUUUUGGCGUUAGGGUUAAAAUCACUGUCCAAAACCUUUGUGGGAACUCUUUUCUAAGCUUUUGGAGUUAGUUAGACCAAAAAAACAUGAAAAAUAAAAAAAUAUAUAUUUGGGGUGUUCGGGCAUGCUGAAGGUAAUACCCGGGGUAUUAGGUUAUGGGGCUUUUGAAAGUUUUAGGGUUUUUGGCAUUAGGGUUAAAAUCACUGUCCAAAACCUUUGUAGGAACUCUUUUCCAACAUUUCGGAGUUCGUUAGACCAAAAAAAAGAUGAAAAAAUAUAUAUAUAUAUUUGGGGUGUUCGGGCUUUCUUAAGGUAAUACCCGGGUAUUGAAUUAUGGGGCUAUGGUAAGGUUUAAGGUUUUUGGUGUUAAGGUUAAAAUCACUGUCCAAAACCUUUGUAGGAACUCUUUUCCAAGCUUUUGGAGCUGGUUACACUAAAAAAAAUGUAAAAUGAAAAAAAAAUAUUUGGGGUGUUCGGGCUUCCUGAAGGUAAUACCGGUAUUAGGUUAUGGGGCUAUGGUAAGUUUUAAGGUUUUUGGCGUUAGGGUUAAAAUCACUGUCCAAAACCUUUGUAGGAACUCUUUUCCAACCUUUUGGAGUCAGUAUGACCAAAAAAAAAAAAAAAAAAAAAAAAUAUAUAUAUUUGGGGUGUUCGGGCUUCCUGAAGGUAAUACCCAGGUAUUAGGUUAUGGGGCUUAGGAAAGGUUUAAGGUUUUUGGCCUUAGGGUUAAAAUCACUGUCCAAAACCUUUUUAGGAACACGUUUCAGACCUUUUGGAGUUUGUACACCAAAAAAAAAUGUAAAAUUAAAAAAAAAUAUUUGGGGUGUUCCGGCUUCCUGAAGGUAAUACCCGGGUAUCAGGUUAUGGGGCUAUGGUAAGGGUCAAGGUUUUUGUUGUUAGGGUUAAAAUCACUGUCCAAAACCUUUGUAGGAACUCUUUUCCAACCUUUUCGAGUCAGUUAGACCAAUAAAAAAUAAAAAAAAUAAAAAAAAUUUAUUUGGGGUGUUCGGGCUUCCUGAAGGUAAUACCCGCGUAUUAGAUUAUGGGGCUAUGGUAAGGUUUAAGGUUUUUGGCGAUAGGGUUAAAAUCACUGUCCAAAACCUUUGUAGGAACUCUUUUCCAACCUUUUUGAGUCAGUUAGACCAAAAAAAAAUUAAAAAUGAAAAAAAAAUAUUUGGGGUGUUUGGGCUUCCUGAAGGUAAUACCCUAAUAUUAGGUUAUGGGGCUAUGGUAAGGUUUAAGGUUUUUGGCGAUAGGGUUAAACUAACUGUCCAAAACCUUUUUAGGAACAUGUUUCAGACCUUUUGGAGUUGGUUACACCAAAAAAAAAAGUAAAAUGAAAAAAAAAUAUUUGGGGUGUUCGGGCUUCCUGCAGGUAUUAGGUUAUGGAGCUAUGGUAAGGGUUCAGUUAUUUGGCGUUAGGGUUAAAAUUAUUGUCCAAAACCUUUGUAGGAACUCUUUUCCAACCUUUUGGAGUUAGUUAGACCAAAAAAAAAUGAAAAAUGAAAAAAAAAUAUUUGGGGUUUUCGGGCUUCCUGAAAGUAUUAGGUUAAGGGGCUUAGGAAAGGUUUAAGGUUUUUGGCGUUAGGGUUAAAAUCACUGUCCAAAACCUUUUUAGGAACAUGUUUCAGACCUUUUGCAGUUGGUUAAACCAAAAAAAAAAAGUAAAAUGAAAAAAAAAUAUUUGGGGUGUUCGGGCUUCCUGAAGGUAAUACCCGGGUAUUAGGUUAUGGGGCUAUAGUAAGGUUUAAGGUUUUUGACGUUAGGGUGAAAAUAACUGUCCAAAACCUUUGUAGGAACUCUUUUCCAACCUUAUGGAGUUCGUAAAGCCGCGUUCAGACCAAACGCGACCAGGUCGCGUCGCGUCGCGUUGGUCGGUCAGGUCGCGUCGCGUGGUGCUCUGGUGUGUUCACACCGGGUCCAAAGUUGCAGUCGCAGGUCGCGGCUGGUCGCCGGUGACGUCAUCCAUGUCACUAGCUCAGUUUUCAGUUCAUCAGUGCUGCUGCAUAUCUGUACAUCCGCAGUAGACGCCGCCGGCGUUUAUGGGUGCAUGAAACCAUCCGGAGGAGGACGGAGCUGGGUGAAUUUCACCGCUUGCUCCAGGAACUCCGCCUGGACGACGGCCGCUUCCAGCGGUAUUGCCGUGUGUCGACGGCGCAGUUCGAGGACCUCCUCGCCCAGGUGGGAAGCAGCAUCUCCCGCCUGGACACGAAAUACAGGCGCUCCAUCUCAGCUUCGGAGCGCCUGUCUAUCUGUCUGUCCCUCAUAUAAACGUCUCUAAGCCCCUUCCACCGCUUGCGGCACACAUCCACUGCAAAGACACACACACACAUACGUUGAAACAUGUAGCCUAGCAAGCAGGGGCAGUUAGCUGGGUGGUAGCUAACGGAUGUGAUUAACUGCUCCUCCAUUGUGAUUCUUCUUCUCCUCUUCCUUGUUUCGCCGGUUUGUUGACGUAAGCAGAGCCCUGAUUGGCUGUCGCGGCACGAAGUCGCUCCCAAAGUUCAAAUAUUUGAACUUUGGGAGCGACGCGACUUGGCGUCCUGCGACCUCGGCGUCCUGCGACCUCGGCGACGCGACCUCGGGGACGCGCCUUGGCGCCUUGGCGACCGGUCGCCCGGUCGCGCAUGGCCGCGUCGCAGGAAGCCGGCGGUCGCCAAGUCGCAUCAGGUCGCGGCUGGCCAUAGACUUUGCAUUGGGAGCCGUCGCCAAGUCGCGUCAGGUCGCGGCUGGUCUGAACGCGGCUUUAGACCAAAAAAAAAAGAAAAAUGAAAAAAAAAUAUUUGGGGUGUUCGGGCUUCCUGAAGGUAAUAGGAAAUAGGAAAGGUUUAAGGUUUUUGGCGUUAGGGUUAAAAUCACUGUCCAAAAACCUUUGUAGGAACUCUUUUCCAAGAAAAAUGAAAAAAAAAUAUUUGGGGUGUUCGGGCUUCCUGAAGGUAAUAGGAAUAGGAAAGGUUUUAGGUUUUUGGCUUUAGGGUUAAAAUCACUGUCCAAAAACCUUUGUAGGAACUCUUUUCCAAACUUUUGGAGUCAGUUAGACCAAAAAAAAAUGAAAAAUGAAAUAAAAAAUAUUUGGGGUGUUCAGGCUUCCUGAAGGUAAUACCCGGGUAUUAGGUUAUGGGGCUUAGGAAAUGUUUAAGGUUUUUGGCAUUAGGGUUAAAAUCACUGUCCAAAAACCUUUGUAAGAACUCUUUUCCAAACUUUUGGAGUUAGGUUGACCAAAAAAAAAAAGAAAAAAGAAAAAAAAAUAUUUGGGGUGUUCGGGCUUCCUGAAGGUAAUACCCGGGUAUCAGGUUAUUGGGCUAUGGUAAGGUUUAAGGUUUUUGGCGUUACAGUUAAAAUCACUGUCCAAAACCUUUGUAGGAACUCUUUUCCAACCUUUUGGAGUCAGUUAGACCCCAAAAAAAGAGAAAUGAAAAAAAAAUAUUUGGGGUUUUCAGGCUUCCU